UUGUAGCUGGCCUUCUCGGAGGCAUCGUGCACGCCCUGCCCGUCCCAUAUCAUACCUGUGAACUUUUUGGUAGGCGGGUUUGUGUCGGCCUCGAAAGGGGUCGACCGGCCCUCCGGCCGUCUUUAUAUACACACCAUACGAGUCUUUAGAAUGUUUGUGCGUCUCGACGCAUCUUAUAUAUAACUUUCAGCGACGGAUCUCUUGGCUCUCGCAUCGAUGAAGAACGCAGCGAAACGCGAUAAGUAAUGUGAAUUGCAGAAUUCAGUGAAUCAUCGAAUCUUUGAACGCACCUUGCGCUCCUCGGUAUUCCGAGGAGCAUGCCUGUUUGAGUGUCAUGAAAUUAUCAACCCCUCCUCCUUCAUCGGCGGUGGGGCUUGGACUUGGAGGCUUUGCGGGCUUUUAACGAGUCGGCUCCUCUCAAAUGCAUUAGCUCGAACCCCUGCGGAUCGGCCGUCGGUGUGAUAUAAUGUCUACGUCGUGGUCGUGAGCGUCGGAUCGGCUUCUAAUGGUCCCCUUUCGGAGGCGGAAUUUGAACUUGUGACCUCAAAUCAAGUAAGACUAC
rnacentral:rRNA from 1 species